rnacentral:misc_RNA from 1 species
GAAAUGCGAUAAGUAAUGUGAAUUGCAGAAUUCAGUGAAUCAUCGAAUCUUUGAACGCACCUUGCGCUCCUUGGUAUUCCUUGGAGCAUGCCUGUUUGAGUAUCAUGAAAUCUUCAAAGUAAAUCUUUUGUUAACUCAAUUGGUUUCUACUUUGGUAUUGGAGGUCUUUGCAGCUUCACACCUGCUCCUCUUUGUUCAUUAGCUGGAUCUCAGUGUUAUGCUUGGUACCACUCGGCGUGAUAAGUUAUCUAUCGCUGAGGACACUGUAAAGGGUGGCCAAGGUAAAUGCAGAUGAACCGCUUCUAAUAGUCCAUUGACUUGGACAAUACUUUUAUGAUCUGAUCUCAAAUCAGGUAGGACUACCCGCUGAACUUAAGC